AAUUAUUUAUACUAUGUAAAUAAAUUUAAAACUUUCAACAUAAAUUUAAUAUUAAUCAUGAAGACUUUUAAAAAGUUUUCCAUCUUAUAUUAUUAUUAAUCAUUAUUGAUAGAUUUUACACUUGAAUAAGAUAGUUGACCAAUAAUAAUUGAUACAUAACUAUUACACGAGUUUCAGUUCAACAUUAAGCAAGUGUUUUUAUUCUAUAAAACAAAUUCCAGUUGGUGGGGAAAGGGUGUAAGGGUUAACUGUUCAGCAAAUUAAUUACUGCAUAAGAUGAAUUUCAAGUUAUUGAUAAAAUGAGGUAAGUUUUUUUUGUUAUUCGCUUUUUGUAUCAGGCAAAGAAAUGUUUAUAACAUCACCAUUAACACUUAUUUCAUUGGGGAUAUUUUCAUGAAUACACUUCAUUACACAUUUGCAUCAUUUUAAUAUUUGAUGAUGUAUAGAAGAAAACUUUUUUAAUUGUUUAAAAAAUAUUGAGAUAUCAAUAAUUCAGUAGUUACAAUUUUUUGCAUUCAUGCAUAAUUUUUACAAUAAAUAUGAAAAGAAUUUGUGUGAAUCAACAAAGAUUAUGUAAUGAAUUAUAUUUUGUGUAAAAAAUCAAAUUUUCAGAUUUUAUUUGCUAUUGCUAAUAGAUAUAUAUAUAUAUAUAUAUUUAAUAGAUCUACAGUAAAUAGUACUUUAAAAUGCAUGUUUAUUUUUUUAAAUUAUAUGAAUUGAAUUUAAUUUAGACAAUGAGCAUUACUAUUUCUUUAUAAAUGUAUUUUUAUAUUUUUUUAAAUAAAUACAAAAACGUGGCAGUUUAUAGAUUUAUUGUAAUAUUAAUUUUUAGAUUUUAUGGAAUGUAUUUUCUCUUCAUUUACAAUCAAAAUUUAUUAAGAAGAAAUUUCAGAAUAGUGCAUUAAAUUCAUGUCUAAACUUUUUUUAUUUUUAUUCAUAAUUAUUUAAUUUCUAUUGGUUUACUUAGAUCUUUGUAUUUGAAACAGAUAAAACCAUCGCCAAAUUAACAAUUACUUCAGGGAUUCUUAUUUAUUUGAACAUUAAAGAAACUUAAUGGAAGUAGUUUGUAUUAAAGUGCAUGGUUACAGAUUUUUCUCCCAUCAAAAGAUGUUUCCCUGUCAAUCACCACUUUCAAAUCAUCAGGAGAUACAGCCAUUCAAGGUGAUUUUGCUUUCUCAAGAAUUAGUUAAAUGACUUACAUAGCUGAGUAACUCAGUUUAUAUAAUCAUUUGUACAUGGCAGUCAUAUUCGGUUAAGUUUUGUAGACUGUGACUUAGCUAAUUAUCAAAUACACUGUCGUCUGUUAUAAUGUCAUGUUUAAGUGAAUAUUAUUGUCAGUAAAUUGAAUAAAAAAUAUAUAAAUAAC